UCCGGCUUAUCACCGGCAGUCUGUUCAGGGUUCCAAACUCAACGAUGGCAACUAAACACGAGGGUUGCGCUCGUUGCGGGACUUAACCCAACACCUCACGGCACGAGCUGACGACAGCCAUGCAGCACCUAGUUUCGUGUCCUUGCGGACUGAUCUAUCUCUAAAUCAUUCACUAACUUUCAAGCCCGGGUAAGGUUCCUCGCGUAUCAUCGAAUUAAACCACAUGCUCCUCCGCUUGUGCGGGCCCCCGUCAAUUCCUUUGAGUUUCACCCUUGCGGGCGUACUCCCCAGGUGGAACACUUAACGCUUUCGCUUAGCCGCUGACUGUGUAUCGCCAACAGCGAGUGUUCAUCGUUUAGGGCGUGGACUAC
rnacentral:misc_RNA from 1 species